rnacentral:rRNA from 1 species
UCAAGCAAUCUCGGGCUUGGUUAGUACUUGGAUGGGUGACCGCUUGGGAAUACCAAGUGUGUUAAGCA